rnacentral:lncRNA from 1 species
GAGUGUGAAGAAAAAAAUGGGUGCAUCCGGAAAACACAGAGGGAAAAGAAAAUAGAGUGAGAGUGAGAAACUCUAGGGGAGAGUGAGGCUCUUGGAAAAAUUUUGUGAGUGUACAAGAGAUUGGGGUUUGGGUUAUGUCAAUUUAACUCAUGUAUAUUUUGUACUAGUUAUUCUCAUAGUGAAGAGCAAUAUCUCUCCGAGGACGUAGGCAGGUUUUUGCCGAACCUCGUAAUUCUCUUGGUGUCUUUAUUUCUUGUAUUUUAAAUUGUUCAACUGUGGGUUUAUAAGUUGGUGAGAUAACAGGCCAAGCACAACAAUUGGUAUCAGAGCUUUGUUGGAAGCUUUGGUUCAUUGAAGGUUCAGAUUUGUUAUUCACCAUGAUGACUACAAACAUGUCAUUUUCAGUUAAGAAGUUUAAUGGGAAAGGCAGUUUUACUCUUUGGCAGAUGAGAGUAAAGGAUGUCUUGACUCAACAAGGCUUGGCUAGAGCUUUGAAGGUAAAAGAUGGGAAGCCUCAAGAAAUGACAGAUGACCAGUGGGAGGAGCUGGAGGCGCGUUGUGUUAGCACGAUUUGACACUGUAUAGCUGAUAACAUUAUCAAUAAUGUUAUGGAUGAAGAUUCUGCGCCUGCACUUUGGGAGAAGUUGGAAAAACUCUAUAUUGCUAAGAGUUUGACCAACAAGUUGCAUUUGAAGCGGAAACUGUACAAGCUGAAAAUGGAUGAAGGUGGGAAUCUCAUGGACCACAUGAAUGUGUUCAACGGAUACUUGGAUCAAUUGAGGAAAGUUGAUGUUAAGGUUGAGGAAGAAGAUAAAGCCCUCUUACUUCUUACCUCACUCCCAGAUUCGUAUGAGAAUCUUGUGACAACCUUACUGCAUGGAAAAGAUACAGUAAGUUUGGAGCAGGUGCAGGCUUCUUUGGUGUCUUAUGAUACUCAAAAGAAGAAGACCAUUGUUGAUGAUGGGUACGAGACUGCAUUAGCUGUUCAAGGUGGGAAUGGUGGAAGAAAAAUGAAAUGAGGUUUUGAGAGAGACAGUAGGUGCCAAUGCAUGUGCAGCUGCUGCAAGCUAAAAACACCAUUUAGCUUCAGACAGGAUCUCGACACAUCCUCGUCUCAUCCUGUAGGAUUUCCCCCUCUUUAUUGUCUGCAACUUGGAAACUCGUCAAUGCACCCGUUUCCAGCAACAACCCAUCGAGCCAGACAAAAUUCCCCACACUUCUCUUCCUUCAGGACCAUCUCAUCACCUGUGAAUCCCAUAGCUCCACCUGCUGCAAAUCCCUUGCAACACUCGAGACUAAACAUCACCAAGAGAAGUGUUGCUUCGAGUACCUAGAGGGCAUACUCGAAGUCUUCUGCCACAAAAUUGCUAUUACUCGGACCAAGAUCAUCCUUUCUUUUUCUCAAAGGACAAUUUAUCCUUUUAUGCCCGAAUUCUUUACAGGCGUGGCAUUGUAGACCCUUACCUCCGGACUUGAUUUGGACCUACUGUCUCUCUCAAAACCUCCUUUCAUUUUUCUUCCACCAUUCCCACCUUGAACAGCUAAUGCAGUCUCGUACCCAUCAUCAACAAUGGUCUUCUUCUUUUGAGUAUCAUAAGACACCAAAGAAGCAUGCACCUGCUCCAAACUUACUGUAUCUUUUCCAUGCAGUAAGGUUGUCACAAGAUUCUCAUACGAAUCUGGGAGUGAGGUAAGAAGUAAGAGGGCUUUAUCUUCUUCCUCAACCUUGACAUCAACUUUCCUCAAUUGAUCCAAGUAUCCGUUGAACACAUUCAUGUGGUCCAUGAGAUUCCCACUUUCAUCCAUCUUCAGCUUGUACAGUUUCCGCUUCAAAUGCAACUUGUUGGUCAAACUCUUAGCAAUAUAGAGUUUUUCCAACUUCUCCCAAAGUGCAGGCGCAGAAUCUUCAUCCAUAACAUUAUUGAUAAUGUUAUCAGCUAUACAGUGUCGAAUCGUGCUAACACAACGCGCCUCCAGCUCCUCCCACUGGUCAUCUGUCAUUUCUUGAGGCUUCCCAUCUUUCCCUUCAAAGCUCUAGCCAAGCCUUGUUGAGUCAAGACAUCCUUUACUCUCAUCUGCCAAAGAGUAAAACUGCCUUUCCCAUUAAGAAUUUUUCCAAGAGCCUCACUCUCCCCUAGAGUUUCUCACUCUCACUCUAUUUUCUUUUCCCUCUGUGUUUUCCGGAUGCACCCAUUAUGAUUAUGUCUCCAAAGUAAACAGCAAACCUUGCUUUUCCUUUAUCAUUCCACAUGCUUUGCAUGAAACUAUGCAUCCCUUCCCUUUGCCUUUAAUCAAAUCACAAUGCCACCUUCACGUGAAAAAUGCAAAUGGGAAAACAUGAAAAGAAAACCUAGCCUAUAAAGUAGACUUUUUUUCAUGCAUAGAAAGCAUACAUAUUUACGUGCAAAGACAACACUUUGCUACAGCCAUUUCCCUGUAGCACAUAAAGCUAAACUAUCAAAAUUGUUGCCAACUCAAACUAUGAGCCAAUCACAACAAUCUCCACCUUGGCGAAUACACCAUGCAAAAAUCCUUGCACCCAUCACCAAAGCUCAUUGGCCUUACGUACCAGCAUACACACCCUGAAUCAACCUCGUUGGUCCUGUUCCGAUUCAGUCACUGCCAAUGCAUGUGCAGCUGCUGCAAGCUAAAAACACCAUUUAGCUUCAGACAGGAUCUCGACACAUCCUCGUCUCAUCCUGUAGGAUUUCCCCCUAUUUAUUGUCUGCAACUUGGAAACUCGUCAAUGCACCCGUUUCCAGCAACAACCCAUCAAGCCAGACAAAAUUCCCCACACUUCUCUUCCUUCAGGACCAUCUCAUCACCUGUGAAUCCCAUAGCUCCACCUGCUGCAAAUCCCUUGCAACACUCGAGACUAAACAUCACCAAGAGAAGUGUUGCUUCGAGUACCUAGAGGGCAUACUCGAAGUCUUCUGCCAUAAAAUUGCUACUACUCGGACCAAGAUCAUCCUUUCUUUUUCUCAAAGGACAAUUUAUCCUUUUAUGCCCGAAUUCUUUACAGGCGUAGCAUUGUAGACCCUUACCUCCGGAACUUGAUUUGGACCUGCUGUCUCUCUCAAAACCUCCUUUCAUUUUUCUUCCACCAUUCCCACCUUGAACAGCUAAUGCAGUCUCGUACCCAUCAUCAACAAUGGUCUUCUUCUUUUGAGUAUCAUAAGACACCAAAGAAGCCUGCACCUGCUCCAAACUUAUUGUAUCUUUUGUACUAGUUAUUCUCACAGUAAAGAGCAAUAUCUCUCCGAGGACGUAGGCAGGUUUUUGCCGAACCUCGUAAUUCUCUUGGUGUCUUUAUUUCUUGUAUUUUAAAUUGUUCAACUGUGGGUUUAUAAGUUGGUGAGAUAACAGGCCAA